GUGGGAAAAGGAGAAGGAGCUGCCUGCCUGGUGCGCGCCCGUCAUGGCCGGACUUCGGUUAAGCCCUGCCCAAGGUGCGCCUGCGCAGUACGCAUAAACCACACUAAUCAAUCACACAGCUCCUAAGGUUUUAUUUUUUUUUUUAAAAAAAAGAAGAAGCACACAACUUCUGCUAUUUUUCUCUACGAUGUAUGGGCUCAUGUGCGGCACACUUCCGUAGUUUCAAAUAAAAAAAGUAUUUGUACUAGACUUAAGCCAGUGUCAAUGAAGUUUUAUUAGAGUUUUAUAGACAUUAAAUAUGUUAAUAUAACACCAUAUUAACGAAGAGAGAUGUAAAAGUUUCAUGGGAGUAGAGAGAGUUUUCUCGAGAUAAAACCACUAGUAGAAUGAAGUUCUGUACAAGCGGUUCUAAACCUAUUUCUA
rnacentral:lncRNA from 1 species